GUGGAGAUUGCAGGCUUCGACACGCAGGGCACUGUUAAUUCAGUUCAGGGGCUGAUCCUGCUGAAGAUGACUUUUGAUGGUGCGAUGAUUCAGGGCAGCAGCUGGAAGGCGGAAGGCAACCUUGGAACAAAAGUCCCUUGGAGGAUUAGCUGGGUGAUGGCAAAUUAGGAAGGGGCUCCAGCAGAGGCAGCGAGUCAACAUUCACUCAAGCAUCCAUUUGGCAUGGCUUUUACAUUCUGCUACCUGGCAGAACUCAGUGCUCCCCUAGCAAAGCCAGAGGACAAUAAAUUAAAGAUGUUGCUACAAAUGUUGGAAAGAGCUGCAAGGAGAAGCAAAUCUAUCAACGAGACGGAUGUCUGUAGGAACAUAACGACCCCCAGAAAGAAAAAUUCUGCAUUGGUGCCCAUCAUGAAUGACAGAAGAAAGAGAGAACGUGCUGCCUUGAAGUUCAUCACACCGGAUGCUCCACAUACCUAAACCCCCUCCUUCCCUUCCCAUUUCCCCUGUAGAACUGCCUCAAGAUUCUAUAUGACUGUAAGAUGGUUCUACAGGACACUAAUCUGCCAUCUUCCAAUUAUGCUGGCUAAUCAUAUAAAUUUUCCUUUCUCAACUACUGGCUUGUUUGCAAUUGAUUGGCACCAGAUUGCGGCAAGCAGAAUGAGCCCCUUUUUGCUCAGUUACAUAAUUAAGUAUUUUGAACUCAUCUUGAGUAUUUCUGUCUUGAUGACGUCAAGUUUCAAUCAAUCCAACAAAUAUGUACAGUCUCAAAAUACAUGGCAAUGUACAUUGAAUCCUCUGCAAGUGUGGACGGUAUAAUCAUCGCCUGCGUGGAUGACACUCAGCUGGGGAAGAUGGAGACACUUGCAGACAGGUUCCCGGAGCUGCUUUCUCAUCACCUUGAGUUCCGAGUUAGGGAACUUUUGGCUCGUAAGUGGCUCAAGGUCAUCUGAGGACAAGGUUUCCAUCUUCUGCACAGGCUCCAGCUACAUGAUUUGCAGUCUUUGCUCAUUGUCCGUGGAAGAUAACUUUGAUGUUUUGUUAUUGAUACAAUAGGACCAGUGCAAAUCGGUCUAUGAUGGCUGCAAAAGCAGGCUGGCUCCAUUACUGAAUACGAUGUGAAAGAUAGCACUCUGUUAAGAAAGUGGAACAUAGAGAAAUAGAAUACGUGAAAUUUCUGUGUAAAUAAUGGCUGAAUAUAAUAUAAAAUAGCCAUUAUGGAGAAAUAAUGGUAAUUUAUACCCCAUCAUCAUGAUGAAUGGUACUUUAGGAAAUCAUGUUAUUAAUGUUGACUUUGGUCAAAUGCCUCUUGAACAGAAGAAUGAAUGACAACUACAACAAUCAAACUAUGCAAACUCCUCCUGUAGGGGUUUCCUGUGGCUAUUGUAACCAAUUAUCACAAACUGCGUGGCUUAAGACAGCAGGAAUUUAUCCCCUCACAGUUCUGAAGACCGGAAGUCCAACAUGGAGGGCUCCCCAAGAAUGCACUUCCUUUGGAGACUUAGAGGGGGAAUCCAUUCUUUGCCCUCCAGCUUCUGAUACCUGUUGGCAUUCCUUGACUUGUAGCCGCAUCUCUCCAAUAUCUGCUUCCAUGGCCACAUUGCAUCCUCCUCUUCUGUCUGUCCUGUCCUGUGCCUAUCCUAGAAGGAUAUUUGUCAUUGGAUUUAGGGUCAUCCAGAUACUCCAGCAUGAUCUCCUCAUCUCAAAAUCCUCCCCUUAGUUACGUCUGCAAAGCAUUUGCCACAGACAUUCGUAGGUUCCAGGCAUUAGGAUAUGACAUAUCUUUCAGAAACCAUCAUCAACUCACUGCAUGGCCUGUGCACAGGACCAGAGAAUUACAGGAAAGUAGCAGAUGACUUUUCUGACUCAACACCAAAGCGAAGAGAACAGCUACACAAAUGCCCAGAAAAGUGAAACAAAAUAGACCCGAGAGUUUCCAGCAGGCAAUGUGGGAGUAUUAGAUUGCAGUGACAUAUCGAAUUCCUAUCCUAGCGUGUUCCCAGAAUUUAGUUUAAACAGCAUUAAUUCUACAAAAGCCCAUGCAAUGACAGUUCGUUGCCGUGAAAAAGAAUGGGAGAAUGUACAAAUUUGCAGCACAUUGAAACGCUAUGAGAAACACAUGUGGAGCCCUUCUUAUCAUCUGUGCUUCGGAAUUGUGGCUGACAGACAGGACACAUAAAUCACAUAAAUCAUAAAUUGCAUUUUCAAAGACAAUAAAUGGACAAACCCAGCUAAUCCAAAGUGAAAAUAAGCCAGAAGACUCUAGAAGGGAAAAAGUAGAAUGUGGACUUAUCCUCCGUGAUGGGAAGUCCACUUAGAAGGAGUGUAUGUCUAGCGUUUUCAUAUGUUCCGUUUCUGGCCAAAAACAUUUUUGCACAUUUGGUUGAUGUGAAUUAAAGGCAAAUUGCAAAUUGGGAACUCUAUACAUAGCGUCUCUGAUGCCCUGAAGAAUUUAGUUUCUGUGAUGCCAAGAGCAUUCAUUCAUCAAUGGUUUCAUUCAUUUAACAGGCAUUCAUGGAGUAUCUGGGAUAUACCAGCAUUGUGCUGGGUAACGCUCAAUGGCAUGGAUGAAUAAAAUGAACAAUCCCCAUGCCCAGAUCAACCAACUCUUGACACUUGGUACAUAUUGGGUUUAUUUAUCUUCUGUCCUCUGGGAAAUGGAUGAGGGUAGAAUCAUUACCAAGAACAGUAACAAGCUCCUGAAGACCAUGCACAUGUAAUCACGCCUGCUCAUGGAAUGUGACACAGGGCCUCUCAGCUCCAUGACUGGAUGGGGGGGUAGUGCUGUUGCUGGAGAACUGUAAAACUACUUUUUCUGGGGAAAAAUUCUCUGCUGAACAGUGUCCAGAUUGGCCAAUAUUUCUCUCUCUUGCCCCUUGGCAAGAGUUAGGUCUCCUUACAUGAACUGGGAAAUUGUUUGUUUCUGUCUUCUUUGAAAUUUAGAUCCAUGGUCAUUAGGUUGAACUAUGUUAUACUCUGGGCAAAUAUCCAGAGCUACCAAUAUAUACGUGUUUAGCAAAAACUUUAAUUCAGCCAUCUGGUACCUUCACCUUCCAGUGGCCAUUGGUGGAUGACGUUGGCAGGUGCAGAGCGUUCUCUGGAUUCUGAUGAUUUAAGUAAAGCUGGUGUGCCAUUGUUAUUUUUACUGUUACUUUCUGUUGGGUUUUAAUACAAG
rnacentral:lncRNA from 1 species